AUGGCCUCCCUCACCAUGCUCGUUUCUUGGGUAUUUUGGAACAAGAGAAAUGCCCGUGUUUUCCGCCACAAAAGCACACCGCCGACGAUUCUUCUUGCCAACAUUUUAGAAGAUGCAAAACUUUGGGUGAUGGCGCAAAGAAACUAG
rnacentral:rRNA from 1 species